AAAUCUAAAAAGAGCCUCUCACCUGAGGCCUUCACCUGAGAGCUGGAGCCUGUGCGAUGGAUUAUCUGGACAGGGACCCCAAUGAACAGGGCUCUGCUGGAGUGAGGAAGCUGACUGAGGGAAGAACCAGAAGGCUGCCAAAAUGUCUGCUGCUGGGGAAACCAAACCACAGUAACUUCAGAAAUAUAUACUUGGAAUAUGUCAUGUAUUAAUGGGUAAAGACACCGUGGAUAUGAAGGAAAUCACCUAUGGGAGAAUAUUAAGAAGAGAAGAAGGGGCUGCUGGCUGUAGUGAAAUGUAUAAAAAGGAGAGUGUGAUCCUAGUUUCUGUCUCUAACUAUGAGUUACUUGUGAUUAACUUCAAAUAUUCUCUCCAUAAGAAGAGGCCCAGAAGAAGAAGAUGAGCUUCAGUUAUUCUAGCACAACUGCUGUGAUAUUUGUAAAUAUUCAAAACCUAUAAUAAAAUGUAUAAAAGGAAACUCCAUUUGAAAUGAUUUGAAAUCUCACAUGGAAAUCUAUUUUUUUUAAAUCAGAGCUUAGUAAGAGAAAAUAACAGAACAUUGUAAUAAUUGAAUUACAAAAACAACUGAAUUUUGGAAAAUUUAUUUUCUCUCAUG
rnacentral:lncRNA from 1 species